AAUAUUUGACAAUGGGGGCAACCCUGAUCCAGCCAGGCCGCGUGUGUGAAGAAGGUCUNCGGACUNUNAUGCACUUUAAGUUGGGNGAAAGGGCUUUAGGUUAAUACCCUGAAGUUUUGACGUUACUAACAGAAUAAGCACCGGCUAACUCUGUGCCAUCAGCCGCGGUAAUACAGAGGGUGCAAGCGUUAAUCGGAAUUACUGGGCGUAAAGCGCGCGUAGGUGGUUCAGUAAGAUGGGUGUGAAAUACCCGGGCUUAACCUGGGAACUGCUUUCAUAACUGCUGAGCUAGAGUACGGUAGAGGGUAGUGGAAUUUCCUGUGUAGCGGUGAAAUGCGUAGAUAUAGGAAGGAACAUCAGUGGCGAAGGCGACUACCUGGACUGAUACUGACACUGAGGUGCGAAAGCGUGGGGAGCAAAC
rnacentral:rRNA from 1 species